GUCAAGUUACCUUAACUCUCUAUGCCUCGAUUUCUUUACACGUCUAACCAGUUUAAGCAUGGUGGCUACCUCAUAGAAUUGUGAGGAUUGAAAGACCUAAAGCCUUGACCCAGAACCAAGGUAACGGCUCAGUAAACGUUGGUUCCUAAGAAGGAUUCAUAUGAGUUUCCGAGAAAUGCAAAUAGUGUUGUCAGAAUUGCGAUUUGGACACCGGGCUCUCAGACCCCAAAGCCUGCUCGCCAACUAUACUAUAAUGAAGGCAACUGAAGUGUGAAGUGGAACUGAGGCAAAGAGAGAUGGGAACAAGGUUGUAGCUCUGUGUUUCAGGUGACACCAGGGACUGCAGAGAGAGGUUUUCAUCUGGAACUGAGGAGAGGAUAUGAAACCCAGAAAGGAAAAAUUGAGCCGUCACCUGGAGAUAAAGGAACGCACUCUCUGGCUGGGAGAGGUGUAGGGAGAUGGCCCCCCAGGCCGGGAGUCUGACGACUUAUCCCACUGAGCUCCGACCAGCUUCAUCCACCUCAAGACAAGAGUGUGCAUCUUCCCCUCACUCAAAGCCUGUGUCCUGUGACCUGAGGCAAUGGAAAGAGAGUUUGAAUUCUGUCCCAUCGAACCAUGUGCACUUGGGCAAAUUGCGUAUCCCUUCAAGGACUCGGCUUCCUAACCUGAAGAAUGGGUGAUGGAAGAAUGACUUUGGAUCAGAACACUGUCACUUUUGGUUUAUGCAAAGGCAUGGUCACAACAAUGAAGAGGGCAAAGAUCUGGGACUUCAUCCAGUUUGUAGAGCAGGUUGUACCACUGUUUUGUUCCUUUGCUAAUAAAUGCUCAUGAGCAACUGAUGUUGGUUUGGGGCUUGUUUCCAGUAGACCUGGAGGAAAGUUUUAGGGGCAGAAACUUAUAUCUUUGCUACUCAAAAUGUGGUGCAGGCAACCAGCAGCAUGGGCAUCAUCUGGGAGUCUGUGAGUAAUACAGAAUCGGGCCACCCCAGACCCAUUGAAUCAAAAUCAGGAUUUUAAUAGGAUCCCAGGCUAUUCAUGCACAUGGUAGAAUUUGAGAGUUCUGUUACAGACUUCACUUACCUCUAACGUUAGAUGUUCAUUGAUACCAAAAAUAAUCAAUUGUGAAGCAUGAGAUUGGCUUAGGCCAGCUUGCAACAGAGAGCAAGAAGGAAAAUUACCGAGAACUUUAUGCUAUGGGCCUUCUGGGAAGAGCUUGGAAGGAAGGGGAAAAGAGAAGCAAGGAAGGAAGUGAAGCUUAGCAGAAGUUGCAAACUCAGACACUCACAUGGACAAGGCCAGGAAGGGAAACAAGAAACGUGGGAGUGAUGGGAACUACUGUGAACUCUAGAAUUCAUGCCUCUUUCAAAAACAGCCACCAUGACUCAGCUCUGGACUAUCGCCACACAGAAAUGUGGGCCUCAUGUUGUCAGCCCUUCUGACUGUUUCAGAAACCCAGAAUCUACAUUUUAAUGAAAAAUUCCCUGAUUUAUAUUCGGUGAGGCCCAGUAGACUAAAUCUAUCGGCUAAUAGCAACGGAGCUUACUCAGUCACCAGCUCCUUAAAAGACCCUAUGGCAAGUCAUUUCUUCUCUCUGUAUUUCUAUUUAUGUAUUCCUUUCAUGGGUUAUUAUUAGUGAACCUGUAAUUUCCCAAAUCCAUUAGAAUAAUAAUGAUGUGCUUGGGAGACCUGAGCCAAAGUCACUGAGAAUACAUUGCCGAUUUCAGUUGGAGUUGGUAUCCUUGGAAAGCUGGCAACCUGCAGCUUUCCGCUGGGGUCUUGAUUUUCUGCUGGUGAACUCAAAGGUUUGGAAAACACACUACUUAACCAUUCAUUGCUAUCUAAACAGGUGGCUACUAUAAGCUUUGCAAUUUAGUGGUACACAACUGAGUUCAGAUUUAGGUCUUUGAUUAAUACAGUUUCAUUUCUCUAGGAGACACAGGGCAUUGGGAGUGAGCAGUAGUAGUGGGUGUGAGGGCUCAGAACCCCCAGGUGAAUGCAGUGAGCUGCUCCUCUGGGGAUGUGUCUCAGAAUUGAGUGAUUUUCAAGAUGCUGUCUAAAGACCACCUGCACUAAAAUUACUGGGGCAAAGGGGGUCAAUUAUAUGGUGGAAAAUACGUGUUUGGUGGUGAGCAUGCUGUAGUGUAUACAGAUGUCGAAUUAUAAUUUGGUACACCUGAAACCUAUACAAUGUUAUAAACCAGUGUUACCUCAAUAAAAACAAA